rnacentral:rRNA from 1 species
UUCCGGUUGAUCCUGCCGGAGGUCACUGCUAUUGGGGUUCGACUAAGCCAUGCGAGUCGACUGGUUCCUUCGGAACCAGGGCGGACGGCUCAGUAACACGUGGGUAAUCUACCCUCAGGACAGGGAUAACCCCGGGAAACUGGGGAUAAUACCUGAUAGGUGGAGAGGUCUGGAAUGAUCCUCCGCUCAAAGCUCCGGCGCCUGAGGAUGAGCCUGCGGCCGAUUAGGUUGUUGGCGGUGUAACGGACCACCAAGCCGAAGAUCGGUACGGGCACUGAGAGGUGGAGCCCGGAGAUGGGGGCUGAGAAACGGCCCCAGGCCCUACGGGGCGCAGCAGGCGCGAAAACUCCGCAAUACGCGAAAGCGUGACGGGGGAACCCCAAGUGUCAUGCCUUCGGGUAUGACUUUUGCAGAGUGUAAAAAGCUCCGCGAAUAAGAGCUGGGUAAGACCGGUGCCAGCCGCCGCGGUAACACCGGCAGCUCGAGUGGUGGCCGCUAUUAUUGGGCCUAAAGCGUCCGUAGCCGGCUCGGUAAGUCCUUGGGAAAAUCCGCUCGUUCCACGAACGGGACCCUGAGGAUACUGCCGAACUUGGGAACGAGAGAAGUCGGAAGUACUCCUAGGGUAGCGGUGAAAUGCUGUAAUCCUAGGGGGACUACCAGUGGCGAAGGCGUCCGACUAGAGCGGGUCCGACGGUGAGGGACGAAAGCCAGGGGAGCGAACGGGAUUAGAUACCCCGGUAGUCCUGGCCGUAAACGCUGUGGGCUAGGUGUUGCACGCUCUACGGGGGCGUGCAGUGCCGAAGAGAAGUUGAUAAGCCUACCGCCUGGGAAGUACCGUCGCAAGGCGGAAACUUAAAGGAAUUGGCGGGGGAGCACCACAAGGGGUGAAGUCUGGGGUUCAAUUGGAUUCAACGCCGG